rnacentral:lncRNA from 10 species
CCCACCCCCACACAGCGUGAGUCCUAAAGGCCAGUCUCACUCCCACCAUGCCCCACCCGCCCCCAGCAGCACUGAGUCUAUUUCCAGACAGCUAGUGACCAGGGCUGAGAACCUGCCCCAGACCACCAGCCUCCCUAUUGAGAAAGCAAGCCGACUCACAGUUUUUCUGCAUCUCAGGGAGCCUGCAGCGGUGAUCCAGUUCUUUCAAAGGGUUUGUGGAUUCUCUCGGCUUUCCUGUUUUUCUCCAUAAAGAUCUGAUCCACUCUGAGAAUGCUAAGAAAACCCAGUCUCCCAAGUCCACAGAGCUAAGAAUCAGAUUCUGAAGUGAGGAGUCUGAGAACAUGAUGCCCUGUACAGCCCCUCGUUAAAUACGGUUUAUGCUGAAGAAAGAUGAAUAAUUCUCAUCAUUAUCUGCAGUAUCCCUGAAAAGCUAAAUAUGCAGUCAAACUCUGGAUCAUCUCACAAGCAUUGAGGAUUAAAGUGGAAUGUGGACAGAAUCAGAAAAGAGAAGACAGAGCUGAGGAAGGCGGUUGAAUACAACAAGGAGGCUGAAUGUCCCCUCCUUCCCCACACCUGACCACAGCCUCUAGCUGGUUUGCUGUCUCCCUUUUAGACUAUGUCACCUUUUUUAAGUAUUUAGAAAGAACAUUUAAUCUGGAGGCCUCUUAGGCUAAAUAGAAGAACAAAUCCUCUGCCAAUUGCAUGCUCUUUGAUAAAUUCUCAUUGCUUUUAGAAUUAAAUCCUAAAGCAUGACUAGGGCCUCUGAGACUAGUAUGUCUGCCUUUUCCCUUCCUUCUUCCUCAUUUCAUACCAUCCUUCCUCUGCCACUCACUGCAUCCCCAUCAGUCAUUCUGGCCUGCUUUGUCUCCACGGAUGAGUGACUUUGGCUUUCCCUUGCCAGGAAUACGCCUUUUUAAACACCCUUCCCACUCACGUCCACCUGAGUUAUUCUCUAUAUCAGCAAUAUAGUUUGAUUCCGUUAAAACAGUUUUCAAAACUUGUAUUUUCUUAAAAAAAAUUAACCUAUAUAUUAGCAUCACUGUUGUUAGACCAGAUGCUUCUAGAAUGUCCCUUUUUUUGCUCAUCAUUAACUCCACUAAGCCUAGAAAUUGCUCUGUGCUUAGAGAGAACAUGCAAAAUGCAGGAAGAAUAUAUGUGUGCUUGAGUUCAGAUCUCAGCACCCCCAGGUACUCUUGUGUUACCUGAGUGACAUUGGGCAGGUGGCUUAACUGAUAUUUAUCCCAGACCUGGGAUCUGUAAAAUGAGGUUAAAAUAUUUCCCACCCAGAGCCCCUCAACAUUCAACACUCCCAAGAUAACUCCUUAUUGCACAUAUUUGUGACUAUACGUCUCAGAGCUCGUCUCUUGUUUAGUCAGUGCUUAGAACAGUUGAUGCCAGUGAUGAAAGGGCAGUGACGGGCAAGUGUCCCAGCUUCCUGGUCCCUUAGUCACAUUCUGAUAAGACACUGAGGUGUGUUCUACACUACCUCCUGUAUACAGAGUCUCAGUCAUACUAGAUGUGCACUGCUCAAUAACAAACCUCAUCCUUUCUCACCCUGUCUCACUUACCAUUUACUGGGGCUUUUGGGGAUUAUCUUUUAAAUAAAUUACUUUCAUUCAUAUUUUUUUCUGAAAGUCGGCUUCUGGAGGAGCCCAACCUAAAACACAGGGUUAAUAACAUUUCCAGGCCGGGCGCGAUGUGUCACGCCUGUAGUCCCAGCACUUUGGGAGGCCGAGGUGGGCAGAUCACCUGAGGUCAGGAGAUCGAGACCAACCUGGCCAACAUGGGGAACCUCCCUCUCUACUAAAAAUACAAAAACUACCCAGGCGUGGUGGCGUGCACCUCUAGUACCAACUACUUGGGAGGCUGAGGGAAGUAGAAGUGCUUGAACCCAGGAGGCGGAGGUUGCAGUGAGAUUGUGCCACUGCACUCCAGCCUGAGUGACAGAGUGAGACUUCAUCUCAAAAUAAAUAAAUGAAAUGAAAAAAAGAAUGACAUUUCCUAUGUCGUCAAAUUAUUUUGAGAUCCUAACUCAUGGAAUUAUUUGAAAGCACAUAUGAGUGCUCAAUAUAUGUUGGGUGUUAGCAUCCCUUCACUCUGUUGAACAGCGGUUGAAUCUAGCAGCUAAGAAGUUAGAUUCAGGAGCGAGACAGCCUGCAUUCAAAUCCCAGUUCCACCACUGGCUCACUCUGUACCUUGGGGCAAGC